rnacentral:rRNA from 1 species
UAGGGAAUCUUCCGCAAUGGGCGAAAGCUUGACGGAGCAACGCCGCGUGAGUGAUGAAGGUCUUCGGAUCGUAAAACUCUGUUAUUAGGGAAGAACAAAUGUGUAAGUAACUAUGCACGUCUUGACGGUACCUAAUCAGAAAGCCACGGCUAACUACGUGCCAGCAGCCGCGGUAAUACGUAGGUGGCAAGCGUUAUCCGGAAUUAUUGGGCGUAAAGCGCGCGUAGGCGGUUUUUUAAGUCUGAUGUGAAAGCCCACGGCUCAACCGUGGAGGGUCAUUGGAAACUGGAAAACUUGAGUGCAGAAGAGGAAAGUGGAAUUCCAUGUGUAGCGGUGAAAUGCGCAGAGAUAUGGAGGAACACCAGUGGCGAAGGCGACUUUCUGGUCGGUAACUGACGCUGAUGUGCGAAAGCGUGGGGAUCAAACAGG